rnacentral:rRNA from 1 species
UGGGAACGUGCCCAAAGGUACGGAACAACUCCGGGAAACUGGAGCUAAUACCGUAUGUGCCCGAAAGGGGAAAGAUUCAUCGCCUUUGGAUCGGCCCGCGUCUGAUUAGCUAGUUGGCGGGGUAAUGGCCCACCAAGGCGACGAUCAGUAGCUGGUCUGAGAGGGUGACCGGCCACGCUGGGACUGAGACACGGCCCAGACUCCUACGGGAGGCAG